GGCUCUAUGAGUGUAAUAGAUAUAGAGUCGGACCUGCCCAGUGAAAAUUUUUAACGGCCGCGGUACUCUGACCGUGCAAAGGUAGCAUAAUCAUUUGCCCUAUAAUUGAGGGCUAGUAUGAAUGGUUUGACGUGAGCAAAGCUGUCUCUUAUGGAAUGAAUAGAAUUUAACUUACAGGUGAAGAUGCCUGUAUUAAAUUGAUAGACAAGAAGACCCUAUCGAGCUUUUAAAAAAGUAUUUAGAAUAAAAUUACCUCGUUUACAGGAUAUUUAACUAAAUAAAAUUUUGGUUGGGGCGACUAAGGAACAAGCAAAGCUUCCUUUAAUUUAAUUAAAACUCUUCUAGUGAUGAUCCAAAUUUUAUUGAUCAAAGGAAUUAGUUACCGUAGGGAUAACAGCAUAAUCUUUUUUGAGAGCUCAUAUCGAAAAAAAGGUUUGUGACCUCGAUGUUGGACUAGAGUUUCCUGAAGGUGCAGAAGUCUUCAAGGGUUGGUCUGUUCGACCAUUAAAACUCU
rnacentral:rRNA from 1 species